CUGUUGCUAUAGUUAUUAGCUAUUGUGCUCAAGUUAGACAUUUCUAUCUGUGCAAGGACAAAAACUUCUUGUCUGACGGGUGGUCUCAGCUGCACAGAGGAUCUAGCUCAGACCUGGGCAAGUAAAGGUCCGGGGGCCACAUGCGGCCCGUUAAGCGUUUCAAUCUGACCCGCCGGACAUUCCCAAAUCAUUUUUUUGGAUCUUUAAGAUGGAAAGCGUAGCUGCCAUUAUGAUGUGCACUCAUCUUUUCUAAUGACCCUAAGUCAGGAGUCCCCAAACUACGGCGUCCAAAAUCCGCCACAGACGGAGGCAAUCUGCAAUCAACACACCUGAAUAUAAUAAAGAGCCACUUCUCCUCGUCGGAACGUAGCCCGGUGAACGGACGUCAACAAAGAUAAGACGACAGCACGCAGAGAAGCUCUGUCAUCCGGAAGGAGCUCAUAGUAAAGCCGCUGCUCCUCCACAUCGAGAGGAGCCAGAUGAGAUGGUUCUGAAAGCUGGUCAGGAUGCCAGCCAAACGCCUCCCUAGGGAGGUGUUUCAGGCACGUCCGACCGGUAGUAGGCCACGGGGAAGACCCAGGACACGCUGGCCUGGGAACACCUCGGGAUCCCCCUGGAAGAGCUGGACGAAGUGGCUGGGGAGAGGAAAGUCUGGGCUUCCCUGCUUAGGCUGCUGCCCCCAUGACCCGACUUUGGAUAAGCGGAAGAAGCUGGAUGGAUGGAUGAAAAAAAGAACCAACAUUCUAAUUAUGUCCCGAGACUUGAAGCCGGACUGACUGGAAUCUCUACACAUGAAAGAAGACAAGAAGUGAUUUAUGUUUACAACACGGCCAUUGUGGAAAAUCUGCAUACUGAUAAAGAUGAACAGUUUGACUUUGCAUAUAAAGUGCAAUG